ensembl:snRNA U2 U2 spliceosomal RNA
AUCGCUUCUCGGCCUUUUGGCUGAGAUCAAAUGUAGUAUCUGUUCUUAUCAGUCUAGUGUCUGAUAUGUCCUCCACCUGAGGACAAUAUAUUGAACGGGUUUUUGGAGCAGGAAAAAAAAAAUGUUCUUUGAAUUGAUAAAUGAGCACAUGAGAC